CCUUCCCCUCUGAAAAAAGAGGGAGCAAUUAUUUUUACUAUGGAAUGUAAGCAAAUCGUUUCUUAGGGAUUGGGAGACUUGUCUCUAUCCCAGGACAUGAGCAUCUGGCAACAGAAGAGAUGAGAAGGUCAUAUGAGCUGCAUUUCAGAGGCGGUCCUGUGCCAUACCAUGGAGAAAGGAAUGCUGCACAGAGGCCAAGAUGAAAUCUCCACCGACAGACCUUGCUGGAUUUUCCCACUCAGUCUGUGACUAUUAGAUUAUACCCCUUUGUCCAAUUGCAUUUGUACACAGUUGUUCAUGCUUCAGUCAUGCCUAUUCAAUGAAAUUUCCAUAGAAGGCCCAAGAGGAAAGAGUUUGAAGAGCUUCCAGAAAACGGAACAUGUGGAGGUUCCUGGAAGAUAGCAAGGCCGGAGAGAACAUUGAAGCUUUGUGAGCCUUCCCUCAUACCUUUCCCUAUGCAUCUCUUCAUCUGCACCCUUUGGAAUAUCUUUUGUAAUAAACCCGUUUCCUGGAGUUCAGUAAGCUGCUCUAACAAGUUUAUCAAACCCAAGGAGGGGGUUGUGGGAAUACCAAUUUACAGGCGGUUGGUUAGAAGCACAAGUUAAACAACCUGGGGCUUGUGAUUGACAUUGGAAGUGGGGGCAGUCUUGUGCGACUGGGCCUGUGGAAUCUGAUGCUAUCCCCAGAGAAAUAGUCAGAAGACAAAUGGAGGACAGCAAGCUGGUGUUGGCUGAAUAAUUGAUUGCUUGCUUGCUGGUAGGGAGAGAUCCCUACACAUCUUGUCAUAUAAGUCUUAUGUUGAUUGCUGUGAUGUGAGAGCAGAGGAAAAACAGCUGGAGUUGUUUUUUUUUUUCCUAACCGUAGUAUAAAAUGUAUUCAAAAUACAAUAAAAAUAUUGCUGAAUUAA